CGCCAUUGUGAAGACCGGUAGCGCCGGUUGUGGCCUGCGCCCGCGCACGGCUCGAAUUAUUUCCCUUUAUGAAGUGCGCCGGCGGCGGCGGAGGCUGUGCGGUGUAGCCAAUGCCCGUAGGACUCGAGAUGUAAUUUGGGAGUAAUGGAGCGUGUAAUGGUGGGCGUGGGUUGGGACAACGACUCGCCCAUAACAAGACAUACUCCACUGGGCACGGCUGGCAGACUAUCGUGGCGGCUGGUGUUCUGGUGGCGAACUGGCGAUACAAAAUCAAAAAAAGAACAUAUGGAACGAAACAUUGUUGGGAAUCGUUUUAUUAAGAAGACUACACGGAAUGGAAGCUUCCUGUAAUCUUAUUAUUACAAAUCCCAUCAGUUCAUCUAAUCCAUGGCCGCAAAUGACAAUUUAACACUAGCAUCAAAAAACGUAUAUUACAUUCAAACAAAAAAUAGUGAUGACAAAUGGGAACUGUAACCUUCUAGAAGUAUCCUUCCGACAGAGCUGGUGGUGAAUCCUGAUUAGGCCUGGCGCCGGCAGUGGCUGCUUACGGAUGAUACUCUCGUAACUAAUUAUAUUGUCGGCUGCAGUCGCCACGCAGCGAAAUCUGACACCGGCCAUAUUGGAGCGACCGCAUACAAAGUGUCUGCAAGAUGCAAUCCCUUAAUUGGAAAUAUCCACAUGUCACAUGUUAAUUUGUGGUCCCGAUUUAUUGAAUACGCUGAACAUAAUGGUAUGCACAGAAAUCGAGAAUUUAUAUUGUAAAUCUAUCAGUCGCUAAUCCACCACUAAGUUUAACAUGGAAACAUAAAAAAUCUAAGAUAAAAAAAUACAAUGGGACGAAGAAAUUAGUGUCAGAAAUCGAGUUUCCCGAGGUAUACUAGGUACUUAUUUCUGGUAUGAAAAAGAGAAUAUAAACGACCAUAUAAGUAGGUACUUACGAAGGGUAAUAAAAAAUAUGAAUUGAUUUUGAUUUACUGGCCCAUAAAAUGUACUCGAUUUAAAACGUCGAUGAAGUUUUAAACUUAAUUUUUACUUUAUUUUCAAUGCACUUGUUUUGAUGACGUUCGAUAAUAAAACAACCCUAAAAUAAGGUUCAUUCGUUAUGUUGAAAACCCUUGUGAGACAAUAAAUUCGUGGAUUAUA